UGUUGUUGUAUUCGAUACCACAUUCAACACGAAUCGAUACGACUUGACAUUUGCACAAAUGUUGGGAGUUAAUAACCAUGGUCAGACAAUUGUCUUAGCAUGCGCAUUUUUGAGCAAGGAAACGACUGAGUCGUUUGUUUGGAUGUUUGAGGAGUUUAAGAAAGCCAUGCCAGGUGGGGAACCUAAAACGAUCAUUACAGAUCAAGAUGCGGCAAUGGCCAUAGCGAUUUCAAUAGCCUUCCCGACUACAUUUCAUCGACUUUGCAUAUGGCACAUCACAUCAAAGUUCUCUGUUAAGUUACCACGUGACCCUUAUAAGGAGUAUUGGCGUGAAUUUCAGAAAGCCAUAUGGGAUACUGACAAUAAGGAUGAGUUUGAUGCAAAAUGGAAUAUUGUGGUUACAAAGGCUGGUUUGACUGACCAUUCAUGGCUAAGUUCAAUGUUUGAUUUAAGGGAAUCUUGGGUUCCAGCCUACGCACGACAAUUUUUUGCUGCUGGAAUGUCAAGCAGCCAAAGAGCGGAAGGUUCUCAUGGUUUUUUCAAGCAAUACAUAUCAAGGAGAAAUUCGUUGAUGGAUUUCAUAAUACGAUUUGAGAGGGCACUUUCUCAUCAACGUGAAAAAGAGUUAGUUGCUGAUCACGUAGAUGCAUUUGAAGUGGCUCAAUGUCUUCUACCGAUGCCAAUGAACAAACAAAUGGCUACCUUGUACACAAGGACAAUGUUUCAAAAGUUUGAGCAAGAACUAAUGCAAAGUACAGCAUGUUUCCUAGAGCUCAAAACAGAGGAUGCUUGUAAAGUUGUCUUUAACGUGAGCGAAAGGAAAAAUUGGGAAACAAGAGUGGCAGAAGUCGUAUAUUCAAAGAUUCUGACCACGCAUCGUGUAGCUGCAAAAGAUUUGAAUUUGUUGGAAUUAUUUGCAAGCACAUCCUAGCAUUGUUCAGAAGGGACCAGAUUGAAUAUAUGCCCGAUAAAUAUAUUUUGAAGAGGUGGAAGAAAACUGCGAAAUCUGGAUUGGUGUCAGAUGCAAAUGGCAACGAAAUUAAAGACUGUGCAGAUCCUGGCCUUCUAAUAAAGCGGAGUACAAUGUCUCGACUUGCUUCAGAUGUGGUUGAGGAUGCAUUAAUGAGUGAAGAAGGAUGUGAGCUACUGUCAGAGACUCUAAAAAGUUUGCAAGUGAAGUUGAAGUUGCUGAAGGAUGGACCAAGUAAUAACGAAGUUGGAGGGUCCAGCUCUCAAACACAAUAUAUGAAAGACCCUAAGAGAGUGAGGUGCAAAGGAAGGUCGAAAGGAGUAACGGGAGCAAAGGAAAAGGCAAUGAAGCGAGGGAUUAGACACUGUCAGGAGUGUGGACACAUUGGUCAUGAUAGAAGACAAUGCCCAGCCUUGAACACACCGACAUCACCGUCGAACAAUGACGAAUCAACUCCAAUACAUCGUAGUGACCCAUUAUUCGACGAUUUUGACAAGAUGCACGGACCAACUGAAUGAUUUAUAUUUGUAUUAGACGAAAUGUGGUUGUUAUGAAGAUUAAUGAUCAGGUGAAGUUUUAUAGAUUCAGUUUUUGAAUAUUAUUGUGUUUUUGUUCAUGUCCACCGAUGAGCUCUUACUAUGUCCGCUGGUAAUUGAAAUGAAAAUUUGCUUCGUUUCAUUCUUCCAUGAAAUUUGGAGACAUGUUAAUUUUACGUCUUCUCCCUAUUUAUAAAUUUUCAUAGACAUUUGAUCAAGUAUGAAAUUUGUAGUUAUGUGAAGAAGCAAUGACUUUUACCAUGUAAAAUGGGCAGUUUAGGGUGAAUUAUGUUUUA